GUGAACGCUGGCGGUAGGCCUAACCCAUGCCAGUCGAACGGCAGCACAGUAAGAGCUUGCUCUUACGGGUGGCGAGUGGCGGACGGGUGAGGAAUACAUCGGAAUCUACUUUUUCGUGGGGGAUAACGUAGGGAAACUUACGCUAAUACCGCAUACGACCUACGGGUGAAAGCAGGGGAUCUUCGGACCUUGCGCGAUUGAAUGAGCCGAUGUCGUAUUAGCUAGUUGGCGGGGUAAAGGCCCACCAAGGCGACGAUCCGUAGCUGGUCUGAGAGGAUGAUCAGCCACACUGGAACUGAGACACGGUCCAGACUCCUACGGGAGGAAGCAGUGGGGAAUAUUGGACAAUGGGCGCAAGCCUGAUCCAGCCAUACCGCGUGGGUGAAGAAGGCAUUCGGGUUGUAAAGCCCUUUUGUUGGGAAAGAAAAGCAGCAGGUUAAUACCCCGCUGUUCUGACGGUACCCAAAGAAUAAGCACCGGCUAACUUCGUG
rnacentral:rRNA from 1 species